rnacentral:rRNA from 1 species
UGGGCCCUACGGGAGGCAGCAGUGAGGAAUAUUGGUCAAUGGCCGAGAGGCUGAGCCAGCCAAGUCGCGUGAGGGAUGACGGCCCUACGGGUUGUAAACCUCUUUUGUCGGGGAGCAAGACCCGCCUCGUGCAGGCGGAGCGAGAGUACCCGAAGAAAAAGCAUCGGCAAACUCCGUGCCAGCAGCCGCGGGAAUACGGAGGAUGCGAGCGUUAUCCGGAUUUUUUGGGUUUAAAGGGUGCGCAGGCGGACCAUCAAGUCAGCGGUAAAAUCCGGGGGCCCGACCCCAUCCCGCCGUUGAAACUG